rnacentral:rRNA from 1 species
AUUGAACGCUGGCGGCAUGCUUUACACAUGCAAGUCGAACGGUAACAGGCCGCAAUGUGCUGACGAGUGGCGGACGGGUGAGUAAUUCAUCGGAACGUGCCCAGUCGUUGGGGUUAACUACUCGAAAGGGUAGCUAAUACCGCAUACGAUCUAUGGAUGAAAUCGGGGGACCGUAAGGCCUCGCUCGAUUGGUGGGGCCGAGGUCAGAUGAGGUUGAUGGUGGGGUAAGGGCUCACCAAGCCAACGAUCUUUAGCGGUAGUGGGAGUACGACCACCCACCCUGGGACUGAGACACGGCCAAUACUCCUAAGAGAGGCAGCAGUGGGGAAUUUGGGACAAUGGGCGCAAGCAUGAUCCAGCAAUGCCGCGUGCAGGAAGAAGGCCUUCGGGUCGUAAACUGCUUUUGUACGGAACGAAACGCCUCUGGUUAAUACCCGGGGCUAAUGACGGUAACGGAAGAAUAAGCACCGGCUAACUACGUG